rnacentral:rRNA from 1 species
CCUACGGGUGGCUGCAGUGGGGAAUAUUGGACAAUGGGCGAAAGCCUGAUCCAGCCAUGCCGCGUGUGUGAAGAAGGCCUUCGGGUUGUAAAGCACUUUCAGUGGGGAAGAAAGCCUUGGGGCUAAUACCCUCGAGGAAGGACAUCACCCACAGAAGAAGCACCGGCUAACUCCGUGCCAGCAGCCGCGGUAAUACGGAGGGUGCGAGCGUUAAUCGGAAUUACUGGGCGUAAAGCGCGCGUAGGCGGUCUGAUAAGCCGGUUGUGAAAGCCCCGGGCUCAACCUGGGAACGGCAUCCGGAACUGUCAGGCUAGAGUGCGGGAGAGGAGGGUAGAAUUCGCGGUGUAGCGGUGAAAUGCGUAGAGAUCGGGAGGAAUACCAGUGGCGAAGGCGGCCUUCUGGACCGACACUGACGCUGAGGUGCGAAAGCGUGGGUAGCAAACAGGAUUAGAUACCCGUGUAGUC